rnacentral:rRNA from 1 species
CGCGUAGGCGGCUUGUCAAGUCCGGGGUGAAAGCCUCCAGCUUAACUGGAGAAGUGCCUCGGAUACUGACAAGCUCGAGCGAGGUAGGGGCGGGUGGAACUUCCGGUGGAGCGGUGAAAUGCGUUGAUAUCGGAAGGAACGCCGGUGGCGAAAGCGACCCGCUGGACCUCUUCUGACGCUGAGGCGCGAAAGCUAGGGUAGCAACG